ensembl:snoRNA
UAUGGAGGCCUAAGAAGGCCGAGUCUGAUGAAGCAAGACUUCUGAUGCAGACCUCCUAGAAAAAGGGGUUGGAGAGAGUAGCCCUUACUGGAGAGUGUUACAGGGCUGACUGUCACCAACAUUU